UACGUAGGGAGCAAGCGUUGUCCGGAAUCACUGGGCUUAAAGCGCGUGUAGGCGGAUGGGAACGUCGGUCGUUGAAAGCCCCCGGCUCAACCGGGGAACCGGCGCCGAAACGACCCGUCUGGAGGGAGCGUAGGGGGACCUGGAACUUCCGGUGGAGCGGUGAAAUGCGUUGAGAUCGGAAGGAACGCCCGUGGCGAAAGCGAGGUCCUGGACGUCUACUGACGCUGAGACGCGAAAGCUAGGGGAGCGAACGGG
rnacentral:rRNA from 1 species